CACGAACCGUACGAACGUUAUUCGGAAUUACUGGGCGUAAAGGGCUCGUAGGCGGCCAACUAAGUCAGACGUGAAAUCCCUCGGCUUAACCGGGGGACUGCAUCUGAUACUGGAUGGCUUGAGAUUGGGAGAGGGAUGCGGAAUUCCAGGUGUAGCGGUGAAAUGCGUAGAUAUCUGGAGGAACACCGGUGGCGAAGGCGGCAUCCUGGACCAACACUGACGCUGAGGAGCGAAAGCCAGGGGAGCAAACGGG
rnacentral:rRNA from 1 species